rnacentral:lncRNA from 1 species
ACUUUCUUGUAGCUUUCCUCCAGGGGACUCAAGAUGUCAGACACUGAGAACGGAGUCGUGUGCUUUGGACUCAUCGACAUGAUUCGGCGGCGGCUGGAGGAGGAAGGAAGAGGAGGAAAAAAAAGGGAGAGGGGGAAGGCGAAGCCUCGCUGCUUUUUUUUUCUCCCUUUGCCAAAUAUUCUGGUGUUACCUUAACGCCGAUCUUGUUGGAUGUACACGUAACCGAGUGGACCGAGUCCGCCUUAAUUGGCUUGAGUGGAGGCUCGGGGGCUGCCUCGCGUUUGUUUUAGCCCGGCGCCAGGUUUUAGGCAGCCACCAGAGGCGGGGCGUAAGCGCUAAAGCAACAAGACAAUAGAAGCCUACAUCUUGCCCGAGAUAAUUAGCUUACAUGCUGAUGACAAGGUAAACACCUUUAAGUUUCACUUGUCAGGAUUUUUAGGUCUCAAAGAGGGAGAGAGAGAGAGAGAGGCAGAGACACGACCCAAAGCAUUUCUUUCCCCCUCCCCCGGACACCCCCACCCCAUUUUUUGUGGGGUGCGGGCGGCGCGCGGGGGGAGACAGGGGAGGGAAAGGAGGAGGGAACCGAGAGAGGGGAGGGCAAGAGGUGGGGUGAGGAGUAGCCGAGGAGGGGGGAUGGUGGGGAGGAAGGAAGGUGAAUGCUGCUUUGCAACCAACUUUCGGAGUUACAAAGUGAACCACUUUCCAAUAUAGUCGGGGUUCCCGGGCGGGGACAAGUCUAUAGAGGGAGGGGGCCAAGGGACAGGGUAGGGGUUUCACCUGAGCCUGCUGGGGCUGCUCCUCCCUCCCGCCGCGGCCUCCCAGCCCCGCGCCUUCCCACUGCCUCCGGACCACAUCGGGCUUCGCGGCGCCGAGCCCCAGUCACCACCAAACGAGCUCGCGAGUCUGGGGACGAACCCUGGGGCCGCACUGUUGUUCUGCGUGUCUGUCCGUCUGUCUGCCUCUUCUGCCGCCGUCAGAGGGACACCUCUGCUCCCCGCCCCCUUUCCCCCUACCCGAGAGAGAAUCCCAGCGGGCGGAGGGGACGCUGAGCAGGGGAUCGGCUGCCUCGGAGAGGCUGUCCCAGAUCCCCGCGUCCCCCUCCCCCCAGCUCAGGGUCUUCUCAGCGGUCCAGGGCCCCCUGCAUCACGCCCCCCCCCAACCCACCCGCGGCUCCCUUUCCCCACCCCCAUUCCUGGCCAAGACAAGCACACUACUGGCCGCCAGAGCUGGGAAGCUGGGGGGGGCACUAACCCGAAGGGCCAUUGCUGAAGUUGCCCCACCUCGAACAAACCUGGUGUCCCCGACCCUCGCCCAUCGCCCGGACACGCGGGGUUCUGGGGCUGGAGCUGACUUUCCGAGGACAUCACAGCCCCAGCACCCGAGCCCAGGGCCACGCUGUUUUCCCCUCUGAUGCUUCAGGGAGGGCGCGGGCAGGGAGCGUCGUAAGUACCCGCCCGCCUGUUGCCGGGCGGAACUGAGCCUGAACCCCGGCGGGACCAGCUGGCCGGGAGGGGGCGAAUCCCGAGGCGCGAGCAGCCCAGCAGGCGGGAGGCUGGGCUGAGGCUCGCCUCCUCCCGGAGCUCAGCCAUGCAAAAGUGCACUUGCUUCCCCGGGAAUAACCAAAUAUCUUUGUUUAAAGUGGCGGCGUAAAUGGCCAGUCGCUUUGUGGCCACGCUGGAUAUUAGUAGAUGAGGAUCAUUCUGCUUCAAUUGGGCGCCUCUCAUCCGGCGAGCAAGAAACUGCUUAGGAGGAAGUGGGUUUCCUGUCAGCGCGUUCCCAGGCUUCAAGUGUGAGCCCCGCGCCUUGAGGGUCCUUGGGCGCCUGGAGAGGGGGAGCUGUGGGCUUUCGCUCCCCAGCCGGACCAGAGGCACCGGCCUUGCUGCUCCGGCCAGGCCCCGGCCUCCAGCCCAGUGGACUACAGUGUCGUGCCCUGCGUGGCACAGAUCCCGAGACCCACUCCGACUUUUCCCCCUGAGAUUCCAAACGUUUUGUCGUUGUUUUGGUUUGGUUUUUCUUUGGCUCUUUUAGCCUCCUCUCCGGCUAGAGGCUGGGAGGGUGGAAAGCUCCUUGUCCAGGCUGGGGCCUCCAACACACUGCCGGGGCCAGUUAAGGGGGCUUCUCCAACUUGUUUUUUUGUUUUCAUUUUCUUUCCCCUCCUUGUAGAGAAGGAACUCCCAGUGAUGAACAGGCACUUUUGAACGAUUUAGUUCAGCAGGUUAGGCGCCUUUUCCAUUAACAGCAAUUGUAGUAAGGAAACUUGUUUUGUUAUUGGCUUUUUAACAUUUCAGUUCUCUCCUUGAGAAGUGCUCUGUGCUCCCUCAACACAAAGCCAACUUCUAUACUAACAUUCGGUUUCCUCACCACCUACGUCGCUUAUGAAGGGUGACAAAGCCCAGGGCACCCCCUUCCUCCCGCAUGUGCCCACGUUUUUGCGCAGCUCCCCUGGUGGCUUUGGGGCAGGCAACCCUGCACUUGGGCGCUGAGACGUGCUUGUCCGCUGUACUGUGAAAGACAAGCGCCAGGCUGGUUCCUUGCGCUUCUUCCAAGGGGCUUCUCUGGGAAGGGGGGGGGGCGGCGCUCUCAGGAAGACUCAGGCUCCAUCAACUAAGCGUUGAUCUAUGUGAUAUUUAAGCCCUAGGAGCAAGGAGGGAAGACGACGCUGAGCUCAAAUGAACCGUCGAGGAGAGCAGACAAAACUGAAUACAGAUCUUGUCUGCAGGCGGCCCAGAAUCCCGGGCUUUUGUUUUGACUGGGGUCUUAUUGCUAAGGCGGGGUGGGUUUCCCAGUCACCUGUCUUCUUUCUCCCUUUCCCUCUCCAUUAUUUCACAUUACUGGUAAGUAUAAGAAACACCAAGUAUAGAAUGGUGUACGUCUCUCUCGGUCUCAAUGCCGUUUAGAAGUGUAGGUAAUUCUUCACAAGGUUUCUCUGAGAUUUUCAGAUAAGAUGGGGCACAUAAAAGCUCUCUGAAAGCUUUAGAAAAUUUUUAAUUUCAUUGCCAGAGCGCCAGAUUUCUGUAUUGUCGUUAGCACACCCCCCACCCUGCCCUGCCUUUAGGCCUUGAGUGAAGGGGAGAGUUGGGUGCAUCUUCCGCAGGCCCUGAGCCUGGGCCUUCGUCCCUCGGCAGCUUCGCUGUCCCGCAGCAGGCUCCGGCUGCGCACGUGGCUAGCAGCUCCCCACCCCCACCCUCAGGCUUGCAGACUGGACCUCGACCCCCAGCUACGCAGCAGGCAUUGAGUCUCUGCACUGAGCUGGAGCUGGGCCGGGAGUUGGGGGGCAGAGGGCGGCGGCUGGCCGAGGCUGCUGCUCCGCCCUCCCCCCUGCACCCCCGCAACCAAGAUUAUGCUGCACCUCACCGCCAGGCGCGCUCACCAGCACUAGCUCUGGACUAGACCUCGCCUGGGCCUUUGCACCACCUUGCGGCACCCCACCCCCACCUCUUCUACCCUUGUCCCUUAUACACACAC